rnacentral:lncRNA from 1 species
AAAUAAAAUAGAUAUGAUAUGGUAUACUCAAGAUGUGAGAAGUUGAAAUAUGAGAAUAGCAUUUUCUUAGGAGAACCAGAUGAGCCCUAUAAAGUGUAGGCUUCCUAAGAAGACAGAGAAAGAGACCAUUGCCAACACGUGCAAGGAAAUAUUUGUGUUUAGAGUAAUUAGGUCAUACACAGACUUGAGGACCAUUACUUGAUUUGGGUGGCAAGUAAAGAAGGGUUACAGAAAAUAUGGUUCCAACAGUAGACAGAGUUGGUGGUGUGUUUCUGGGGAUACUAGGUGCUUAGCCCAGAGUUUGCAUUUUGUUCAAAAAUAAACUUAGUGUAUUUUGGGAUGGUGUGAAUGGAGACUUCUCUGAAGACCGUAUGCUUAUUAACUGGGGUGCAGAACGACACAUACUGAAUUCAAUUAAUAUGAUGGAUAAUAAGACAAUAAAGGUAACAGAUGGUUGGAGGGGCCAGAGUAUGUCUUGCCACCUUAUUUAUUUUCUACAAUAUGUUAAUUCCAUGGUUGUGGUUAAUGAGGAAACAUACUGAGGGUCACAUGACAAAGUCCAUGCUCAGAGAUUUACACUAAAUCUUUACGUUGAACCAAAAAAAAAAUGUGAUUCUUUGAAUGAAACUACUGCAAACAGUGUAUACUAUUAGCUUUUGUGCAGUCAAGAAAAGUGAACUGGUUUAUAACUUUUAUAAGACUCUGUAAGUGGUGAGUUCAUUUCUUAUACCGAGCUGACUACUACAGUGUUUUCCACCAAUGUGCAAAUAUAACUCUGUUAAUUAGUGUACUUACUUCAUCAAGAGAAGUUGAAACAUAUCCAUAUUGCCCCAUAAUUUUGUGUUUAUUCAUCUGUAAAAUGUGUAUCAUAAAAGCUUCUUUUCACAUGAAACUGUCAAGGCCAAAUGAUCAUGCACUGGAAGAUAUUUUUUAUAUUCUAUGAUGCAUUGUAAAAAUAAAUCAUUUUCUCAAGUUGUGUGUAAACUUCAUUUUCUAAUUGACAUGGUGCCUACGCAUCUAUAAAAGACAGCAGGAAAAGACAUCUGCUUCUCAUGCCUCGAUAAAACAUGUGACUUCCAGAAGCCAUUGAAUCUGACAUCCUGUGGAUGCCGUUCCCUCCAGGAAAAAUUCCUUUGCACCUUCAUAUCAAAUGCUGUUCAUCACUAGUGUGAGCAGCAGUGGAACUGGGGCUCUUAAGUCACCCCAAUGAUGUAAUCAUCAAUUUGUUCACAAACCUAAAUAAAGAAAUGGGAGUUCUAUUUUCAACCAUGGACAAUUGUCCCUAACUCUCUGGACAGUUAGGGAGGUAAGUAUAGUCUCAUGACCAUAUUUAUGAUAUCAUAAUGUUGUACACUGCCAUUGAUAUAUUUCCAAAGUUCAGAUUUUAGUUGCAGUUUGCACUGCACAGGUUUUUUUUUUCCUAAAACACCCUCGAAAGGGUCUCACUUUCACCUUGUGAUGCAGAAAAGGAUAAAUCUUUUGAAGGAAGUCUCCCCAAAAGCAACCAACAGCAUGAGUGAAAAUGCAAAAAAGCAUGAGAUCACAGGCAGCAGGGAAAAGACUUUACUUUCCUCCAUUUUCCCAUUUUGUACUCUACCUUGGUAAAAGGCAUCUCUUCUAAGUGAAACUUCUGUAUCUACCUGAAUGAUUAUUACUGACUAAAACAAGUGCAUUGACUCUGUAAUCACAAUAACUUAUGUCUUUCACAUACAACAGAUCUGAAGCCUUUUUUGUAAUCUCUUGUCUAUGAGAUUUACUUUUCAAAGGAUACGGCUACAUGCCACAUUCAAAACUCACUUUCAAAGCACCCUACUUUGAAAAACCCAGAUUCUGCCAGGUGUUUUCUCUCUUGGCUGACCAGGUUUUCUAUCAGCUGAUCCAUGGUGACCUCACUUUUUAGGAGCUUCAGUCAGAGGUCAGGAAACGAAUAUUAAAGAUACCCUGAGAACAUCAAAGUCUAUUUGCUUGCUUGCUCAACUCUGCUUUUGCUCAUUAUUCCUGACUAUUCUGCAGAUGAGUCCCAGGUUGAGUGAUCACCUUGGAGCAGUCUGUAAGGCCCGUUUCCUGGUGUGUAGGUUCUGAAAGAGCUAUUCUUACCCUCCUUGUUCCCUCAAGGCUAGAACAUUCAGGAAGAAACUGACAAUAGUCUUUAUGUGACAAUCAAAUCUCCUGUUUGUUUUUUGCCUUUCAACCUGUGUGAUUGGUUCCAUGAAUCUUUUGGCAUAUUUAAUGUCUUUUAUACUUUAAAGACUAUGGAACUAACAGUGAAUUUUAAUUGAUUUCCUUUUCCCUUCCUGAGGGUGUUGUGAAACUCUUUCUAGAGAUAAUUUUGUUUAAUUUAUGACAAUUUGCCGUGUUAACCUUCCUAUAAGAAUGGCGUAUUUGACAAGUUUAUUUAUGGAACAUUAACUCUGUACCAUAAAAUAUUAAUUUUUAUUGCUGCUUUGCAUAUUCCAUAACCAAUAAAAUAUUCUUCCUGUGGGUAAAUUG